CUGAUCGCUGAAGUAGACAAACUGAGAGACUUGGAGGCUCAGCUAAACUCUUCGGCGCAACAGAACAGAGCUUUGGGAGCCAAUUUCUUUGCCACAGUGAAAGGAAUGUGCAAACUGAAAGACAAUGAAGAAAUCAAAGUUUAAUUGACUGCCAAAGAGGUUGAAUUUCAAACUGAAGUGAUCGAAAUGAAGAAAGUGAUUGAAGGUAUCUUCACAGAUCCAGUGAAGGGAGUCUACUACUUCACAUUAUGUACGUUUGUCUACAAUGACCACAAGGGUGCUGAUGGUGACAAURCCAAUUUGAAUCAGAAUAAUGGGGACAGGGUCUGUGUGGAACUGUGGGAGCAGUGCCAGGUGUAAGACAACAAUGAUGGGCACACUACCUUCAGUGGCCUCCUGCUUUUUCCUGUAAAAGAGACGUUAUAACCUGUAAAUGAGAAUUACCUCCCUGCCAUGAAAUGCACACUAGGUGUGUCCCAAUAAUCUCCUUUCUCCUGAAGCGUGUACUCUUUCACUAAAAGCAUUGGAUUGGUGGAGGCAUGGGCUAGUGGUAAUUUCCAACAUAUUUCUUAUUCCAGUCAUCAGUAAUUUCCUCUAAAUUAGUGACGGGAAGUGAACAAGUGCACACUUUGGGAGGAAUGAGAGCCAAUUGGGACAGAGCCUCUGUCUGUAAUGAAGCAGGAAUUCUCUUGACGGUGACUGAAUUUAGUGAGAAUUAACUCCGCUGAAUCCCAAACCAGCCCUGUUUUCUCAUGGACUGCUCUUGCAAGUUGUAUUUUUGUCUUUUUAAAGUUUUCAUAUCCACAAUAUUUCUGACCUUUUUUGUGAUUUGUUUAUGGAAAAUCUAGAAAAAGCCUGGAUUAUAAUUUAUGAAUUUCUCAUGCCUCCAUGUUAUUUUUCUAUGCUGUUAAUUUAGUUUAGUGUUUUUAACGACUAUGAUAGAUUAACUGUAGACAUUGUUUUUGAACCGUUGGUUGAACUUCAGUAUGCCAAUGCAAUUCAUUAGACAUUUUCAGACUCUGACUGUCAUGUGGUCCUCAGUGUUCUCUGUAUAAUAAUGUACUUUCCAUCUCCUUUAAAAUAAGGUGCAUCUUUGCC